AAUAAACCAUUUUUUUACUUUUUACCUUUAAUUUUUGACUCUUCGUCUUAUUAAAAAAAUUUUGCGAUUGAUAUUUUUAUUUUUAUUAGAUGAUAAAUCAUGAAUAGUAUUUUGCGUGUAACUAAUUUUUUUUAAUUUCUUGAAUUUUUUUUAAAUAAGACGGAUGGUCAAACGUUAGACAUGGAAACCGGAGAAUUCGUUUUUU
rnacentral:pre_miRNA from 1 species